rnacentral:pre_miRNA from 1 species
AAGAUACUCCCUCCGUUCGGAAUUACUUGUCUUGGAAAUGGAUGUAUCUAGAACUAAAAUACGUCUAGAUACAUCCAUUUUCACGACAAGUAAUUCCAAACGGAGGGAGUAUAAG